rnacentral:rRNA from 1 species
UACUGGAAACGGUAGCUAAUACCGCAUAACGUCGCAAGACCAAAGAGGGGGACCUUAGGGCCUCUUGCCAUCGGAUGUGCCCAGAUGGGAUUAGCUUGUUGGUGAGGUAACGGCUCACCAAGGCGACGAUCCCUAGCUGGUCUGAGAGGAUGACCAGCCACACUGGAACUGAGACACGGUCCAGACUCCUACGGGAGGCAGCAGUGGGGAAUAUUGCACAAUGGGCGCAAGCCUGAUGCAGCCAUGCCGCGUGUAUGAAGAAGGCCUUCGGGUUGUAAAGUACUUUCAGCGGGGAGGAAGGGAGUAAAGUUAAUACCUUUGCUCAUUGACGUUACCCGCAGAAGAAGCACCGGCUAACUCCGUGCCAGCAGCCGCGGUAAUACGGAGGGUGCAAGCGUUAAUCGGAAUUACUGGGCGUAAAGCGCACGCAGGCGGUUGAUUAAGUCAGAUGUGAAAUCCCCGGGCUCAACCUGGGAACUGCAUCUGAUACUGGUCAGCUUGAGUCUCGUAGAGGGGGGUAGAAUUCCAGGUGUAGCGGUGAAAU